rnacentral:rRNA from 1 species
ACGCUAGCGGGAGGCCUAACACAUGCAGCCGAGCGGUAGAAGAUCUUCGGAUCUUUGAGAGCGGCGUACGGGUGCGGAACACGUGUGCAACCUGCCUUUAUCAGGGAGAUAGCCUUUCGAAAGGAAGAUUAAUAUCCCAUAAUAUUUUGAAUGGCAUCAUUUAAAAUUGAAAGCUCCGGCGGAUAGAGAUGGGCACGCGCAAGAUUAGAUAGUUGGCGGGGUAACGGCCCACCAAGUCAAUGAUCUUUAGGGGGCCUGAGAGGGUGAUCCCCCACACUGGUACUGAGACACGGACCAGACUCCUACGGGAGGCAGCAGUGAGGAAUAUUGGACAAUGGGUGAGAGCCUGAUCCAGCCAUCCCGCGUGAAGGACGACGGCCCUAUGGGUUGUAAACUUCUUUUGUAUAGGGAUAAACCCUACCCUCGUGAGGGUAGCUGAAGGGUACUAUACGAAUAAGCACCGGCUAACUCCGUGCCAGCAGCCGCGGUAAUACGGAGGGUGCAAGCGUUAUCCGGAUUUAUUGGGUUUAAAGGGUCCGUAGGCGGACUCGUAAGUCAGUGGUGAAAUCUCAUAGCUUAACUAUGAAACUGCCAUUGAUACUGCGGGUCUUGAGUAAGGUAGAGGUAGCUGGAAUAAGUAGUGUAGCGGUGAAAUGCAUAGAUAUUACUUAGAACACCAAUUGCGAAGGCAGGUUACCAUGUCUUAACUGACGCUGAUGGACGAAAGCGUGGGGAGCGAAC